AUACGAAGGGUGCAAGCGUUCAUCGGAAUUACUGGGCGUAAAGCGCGCGUAGGUGGUUUUGUAAGUUGGAGGUGAAAGCCCCGGGCUCAACCUGGGAAUUGCCUCCAAAACUGCAUGACUAGAGUACGGUAGAGGGUAGUGGAAUUUCCUGUGUAGCGGUGAAAUGCGUAGAUAUAGGAAGGAACACCAGUGGCGAAGGCGACUACCUGGACUGAUACUGACACUGAGGUGCGAAAGCGUGGGGAGCAAACAGGAUUAGAUCCCCUGGUAGUCCACGCCGUAAACGAUGUCAACUAGCCGUUGGGAUCCUUGAGAUCUUAGUGGCGCAGCUAACGCAUUAAGUUGACCGCCUGGGGAGUACGGCCGCAAGGUUAAAACUCAAAUGAAUUGACGGGG
rnacentral:rRNA from 1 species